rnacentral:rRNA from 1 species
CCUACGGGAGGCAGCAGUGGGGAAUAUUGGGCAAUGGGCGCAAGCCUGACCCAGCAACGCCGCGUGAAGGAAGAAGGCUUUCGGGUUGUAAACUUCUUUUCUCAGGGACGAAGCAAGUGACGGUACCGGAGGAAUAAGCCACGGCUAACUACGUACCAGCAGCCGCGGUAAUACGUAGGUGGCAAGCGUUAUCCGGAUUUACUGGGUGUAAAGGGCGUGUAGGCGGGGACGCAAGUCAGAUGUGAAAACCACGGGCUCAACCUGUGGCCUGCAUUUGAAACUGUGGUUCUUGAGUACUGGAGAGGCAGACGGAAUUCCUAGUGUAGCGGUGAAAUGCGUAGAGAUUAGGAGGAACACCAGUGGCGAAGGCGGUCUGCUGGACUGCAACUGACGCUGAGGCGCGAAAGCGUGGGGAGCAAACAGGAUUAGAUACCCGAGUAGUC